GGCCUCUGGAUGAAAGAGGAGCAGCGCAGCUGGAUAUUCUUGUGAAGGGUUUUAGUCGUCAAUCAUUCCUGCUCUUCAAGAUUCUUUCCAGUGUGCGUAACCACCAGAUAAACUCUGACUUGGCACAGCUGCUGUUACGACUCGACUACAACAAAUACUACACACAGGCAGGAGGCACGCUGGGAAGUUUUGGGCUAUAAUGCAGCGCCUGAAGAUCUGAGGCAAACUUCACACAAUGGUGCAUUUCAGCUUAUUAAAGCAUGCCUAAUACAA